UGGAGCGCUCCGUCGGAAACUGGUCUUCAAACAGCCUGUGUCCGUUUUUGUUUCUGGAAGGCACUUCUAGACGAACCUGGGUGAUCAGCUCAUCUUCCCUUUAGCCAUAUUCUCUGAUUUCCAAGUGGUCAAGGAACCAGGGAGUUAUUUCACUGGACCUGUGUCCCAGCUGUUUCACAAAAAUAGAGAAGCCAGACACACCCGGAACCCCUUGGAGAAUUGGCACAUUGUAUACGUUUCUCUAAAGCCGUAUCUGUGAGGAAAUCUCUUUCAGUGCGUCCAUCUAGUGCUCAGGUUUAGUUUUUAUUGAGAAGAAGUCAAUCACAGAUCUGACAAAAUUAUAAGCGAAGGCUGAAGAACUCACCCUCGGCGUGAGUCUCCUCCUCGCAGGCAAUUCACUCCUAAGCUUCUGCCUUGGCCUCACCAGCACUGCCCUCGAAGCUGAAAAUCCUGCUGUGCCCUGAUGGUUGAAAAUCUGAAAGCAUCCUUUGCCUCGCCCAAGACAGAAGGAAAUGACAGGAAGAGAAACACUUCACUGACUGGAUGAGUAUGCUGAGGCUCAGAGAGGUCAGUUUUCCUGAGGUCACAGGCUACUACUUGAGGAUUCGGGAUUUGAACCAAGGCCAUCUAGCUCCAGGGUCUGUGCCCCUAGACACACUGCUGUGCCCUCCUUGAGAUGGUAGGCAAAGCUUCUCACCUGUCCAUGGUUUUGUAUUUAGCAGGUGUCAGUUAACUCUAUCUAAAGACGUAUUUUGCUGUCACACCUGGACAGGAGUUAUUGGCUUCUAAUAAGUAGAGAUCAGAGAUGCUGCUCAGCACCCUACGAUGCGCAUCACAGCCCCACAUCAAAGAAUCAUCUGCCCCAAAGUGUCAGUAUUCCUGAGGUUUUGAUGAUGAGAACCUUGAUGAAGAGAAAACACAGGACCCAUGCGUGGGUAUAAGAGACAUGUAAAUAGUAAAGUCUGUCCAUUGUCUGUCUCUGUCUGUUGUCUGUCUCUCAUCCAUCUCUCUAUCUAUAUCCUCCCUCUGCUCUCAGACAACAGCUGAAGGGUCUAGUCUUUUGAAAGGUCCUUUAAAGUAUUCAUUAUUUUGAAAGCCUUUAAUAUGUAUGAAAGAGUUAGAGAGCCAAGUGAGUUACAAGUUAUUGUUCCUUGAAAAUACAGUGUGUACAUGCACACACAUGUGGCUGGCUCCGUUUCAGUUCCUGUGGACUUGCCCUUUGGCUAUGGAAAGUCCACAUCCUUCCCUAAGACCUUGUACCUGGGACUGUGUCCCCAGUUAGCCUUUGAGAAGAAAAGUCCUGGGUCAGGAGAGGUCAUCUGGUGACAAGGUCCUCACAGUUAUUCUAACUGCAUCCACUUUACACUCCACAUCGCCUGAGAAGCCCACUGGUACAUAUAUGCAUUAGUAUCAUAUUAUUGCACUUUCCAUAUCACACUAACACAUGUUACAUAGUCAGCAUUUACACACUGCACAGUACAUUAGUAGGCAAUGCAUGCCACACUAGUACAUACUACAUGUUACAUGAAUACACAUCACAUGUUUCACUGGUAACCCAUUAUAUAUCACAGGAUGAAUGCAUUUCGCAUUACAUGAAAGCACAUUGUGGACUGCAUUAAUAACACAUUUCACGUUAUGCUAAAACCCAGCGCCUCAGCAGUAAAGAAUCCACCUGCAAUGCAGGAGACACCACAGGAGCCAAGAGUUCAAUCCCUGGGUUGGGAAGAUCCCCUCGAGAAGAAAAUGGCAACCCACUCCAGUACUUUCACCUACACUGUCUACUGUACUCUCAUGGGUGGAGGAGCCUGGUGGGCUACAGUCCAUGGGGGUCACAAACAGUGGGAUAUGACUUAGCGACUCAACACCACCGCCCCAUAUUGCAUUCUCCAAUGAUGCAUAUUGCAUAUUACAUUACUGACACCUUCCGUAUCACUUAACACUCUCCAUACUAC